UUCUUCCUAUAUAAGGAGGUAAGGCCUGCUCACUGAAUUUUGAAGAGCCGCAGUAUCCUGACUGUGCUAAGGUAGCAUAAUAAUUUGUCUCUUAAUUGGGGACUAGAAUGAAUGGUCUAACGAGAAAUUAACUUUUUUAGGAAUAAUAAUUAAACUUAAUUUUUUAGUGAAAAAGCUAAAAUAAGAUAAAAAGACGAGAAGACCCUAUAGAGUUUUACAUAUAAACUAUUUACAUUUUAAUAACUUUUUAGAAUUGUAAAUAAAGACUAUAUUUUGUUGGGGCGACAUUUAGAUAAAAAAAACUUUUUAUAUUAAAAACUCAAAUUUGAGUAUUUACUGAUCCUUAAAAAAGAUUAAAAGUAUAAAUUACCUUAGGGAUAACAGCGUAAUCUCCCUUGAGAGCUCAAAUCGACAGGGAGGUUUGCGACCUCGAUGUUGGACUAAAAUUAAACUAAGGUGCAGAAGUCUUAGAUUUAGGUCUGUUCGACCUAUAGAUUUUU
rnacentral:rRNA from 1 species